UCCUGGCUCAGGACGAACGCUGGCGGCGUGCCUAACACAUGCAAGUCGAGCGGAGACAGUGAGUAGCUUGCUAUGAGCUGUUUUAGCGGCGGACGGGUGAGUAACGCGUGAGCAACCUUUCCCAGACAGGGGAAUAACACACCGAAAGGUGUACUAAUACCGCAUAAGACCACGGGAUCACAUGGUUCUGGGGUAAAAGAAUUAUCGGUUUGGGGUGGGCUCGCGUCCGAUUAGGUAGUUGGUGAGGUAACGGCCCACCAAGCCGACGAUCGGUAGCCGACCUGAGAGGGUGAUCGGCCACAUUGGGACUGAGACACGGCCCAAACUCCUACGGGAGGCAGCAGUGGGAAUAUUGGGCAAUGGAGGAAACUCUGACCCAGCAACGCCGCGUGGAGGAAGAAGGUUUUCGGAUCGUAAACUCCUGUCCUUGGAGACGAGUAGAAGACGGUAUCCAAGGAGGAAGCCCCGGCUAACUACGUGCCAGCAGCCGCGGUAAUACGUAGGGGGCAAGCGUUGUCCGGAAUAAUUGGGCGUAAAGGGCGCGUAGGCGGCUCGGUAAGUCUGGAGUGAAAGUCCUGCUUUUAAGGUGGGAAUUGCUUUGGAUACUGUCGGGCUUGAGUGCAGGAGAGGUUAGUGGAAUUCCCAGUGUAGCGGUGAAAUGCGUAGAGAUUGGGAGGAACACCAGUGGCGAAGGCGACUAACUGGACUGUAACUGACGCUGAGGCGCGAAAGUGUGGGGAGCAAACAGGAUUAGAUACCCUGGUAGUCCACACUGUAAACGAUGAAUGCUAGGUGUAGGGGGUAUCGACCCCUUCUGUGCCGCAGUCAACACAAUAAGCAUUCCGCCUGGGGAGUACGGCCGCAAGGUUGAAACUCAAAGGAAUUGACGGGGGCCCGCACAAGCAGCGGAGCAUGUGGUUUAAUUCGACGCAACGCGAAGAACCUUACCAGGUCUUGACAUCCACUUAAACUUACAGAGAUGUAAGGUGUGCUUGCACAAAGUGAGACAGGUGGUGCAUGGUUGUCGUCAGCUCGUGUCGUGAGAUGUUGGGUUAAGUCC
rnacentral:rRNA from 1 species